rnacentral:rRNA from 1 species
UAGGGAAUAUUGGACAAUGGGCGAAAGCCUGAUCCAGCAAUGCCGCGUGAGUGAUGAAGGCCUUAGGGUUGUAAAGCUCUUUUACCCGGGAUGAUAAUGACAGUACCGGGAGAAUAAGCCCCGGCUAACUCCGUGCCAGCAGCCGCGGUAAUACGGAGGGGGCUAGCGUUGUUCGGAAUUACUGGGCGUAAAGCGCACGUAGGCGGCGAUUUAAGUCAGAGGUGAAAGCCCGGGGCUCAACCCCGGAACUGCCUUUGAUACUGCAUGGCUUGAAUCCAGGAGAGGUGAGUGGAAUUCCGAGUGUAGAGGUGAAAUUCGUAGAUAUUCGCAAGAACACCAGUGGCGAAGGCGGCUCACUGGCCCGGUACUGACGCUGAGGUGCGAAAGCGUGGGGAGCAAA